UACGAAGGGGGCUAGCGUUGUUCGGAAUCACUGGGCGUAAAGCGCACGUAGGCGGAUUGAUAAGUCAGGGGUGAAAGCCCGAGGCUCAACCUCGGAAUUGCCUUUGAUACUGUCAAUCUUGAGUCCGGGAGAGGUGAGUGGAACCCCGAGUGUAGAGGUGAAAUUCGUAGAUAUUCGGAAGAACACCAGUGGCGAAGGCGGCUCACUGGCCCGGUACUGACGCUGAGGUGCGAAAGCAUGGGGAGCGAACAGG
rnacentral:rRNA from 1 species